UCGGAUCCACACCUCCGACCUUCUGGCUCCAAUCCACGCGAGGCGGCGGCGUGUGGCCGGCGACGCGAGGAGACGACGACCUCUUCCCAUCCGACGUCCUUCUCGCCGAUUGUACCAGCAGUUCCUAGGAUUGGUGAAGACGAGUCGCCUCCUUCCUGGGACUUUGUUUUGACUCCGAAAGAUCAAUGAUUGGAUUCUGGACAUCAUUGGCUGUGCUCUACUUUUCAAAAGAAGUUGUCAAUUUGCACUGUUUGUAGGUGUGGACUGGUUCAGUGAUCUUCUGAUGGCAGCAUUGUCAUAUGGUUGUAACGGUUAUGAUCUUCUGAUGGCAGCAUUGUGAUAUGGUUGUAACGGUUAUGAUCUUCUGAUGGCAACAUUGUGAUAUGGUUGUAAUAGUUGUGAUCUUGAAAAGAACUUACACAACUUAUUUUUUAAAGUGAUCAGAGCAUACCAUUAGCUCAUUGAGCUUGUUUGGAGGAAAGAAUUAUCGAUUAGAUGUAGACUAUCAAGUCAUUCUGAUUUGCACUGCCCAUGUAUGCCAUAUGUUCCAUUAUUCUCUGGGCUGUUAACUAAUUAGCACUAAUGGCUAAUAUGAAGAAGUGCAGCUCCACUUCUGUUAUUGCAAAA